CCUACGGGAGGCAGCAGUGGGGAAUAUUGCGCAAUGGGCGAAAGCCUGACGCAGCGACGCCGCGUGAGGGAUGAAGGCCUUCGGGUCGUAAACCUCUUUCAGCAGGGAAGAAGCGUAAGUGACGGUACCUGCAGAAGAAGCACCGGCUAACUACGUGCCAGCAGCCGCGGUAAUACGUAGGGUGCAAGCGUUGUCCGGAAUUAUUGGGCGUAAAGAGCUCGUAGGCGGUCUGUCGCGUCUGCUGUGAAAACCUAGGGCUUAACUCUGGGCGUGCAGUGGGUACGGGCAGACUAGAGUGCGGUAGGGGAGACUGGAAUUCCCGGUGUAGCGGUGAAAUGCGCAGAUAUCAGGAGGAACACCGGUGGCGAAGGCGGGUCUCUGGGCCGUAACUGACGCUGAGGAGCGAAAGCAUGGGGAGCGAACAGGAUUAGAUACCCUGGUAGUCCAUGCCGUAAACGUUGGGCGCUAGGUGUGGGGUCCAUUCCACGGAUUCUGCGCCGCAGCUAACGCAUUAAGCGCCCCGCCUGGGGAGUACGGCCGCAAGGCUAAAACGUCAAAAUGAAUUGACGG
rnacentral:rRNA from 1 species